AGGGGUGUAUUUAUUAGAUGGAAACCAAUUCGGGGCAACCCGGUUCAUGGUGAUUCAUAAUAACUUUCGGAUCGACCUUUCGGUCGAUGCAUCAUUCAAGUUUCUGCCCUAUCAGUUGUGGAUGGUAGGGUAUUGGCCUACCAUGACUUCAACGGGUAACGGAGAAUUAGGGUUCGAUUCCGGAGAGGGAGCCUGAGAAAUGGCUACCACAUCCAAGGAAGGCAGCACGCGCGUAAAUUACCCAAUCCUGACACAGGGAGGUAGUGACAAUAAAUAACAUUACUGGGCUCGCAAGAGUUCUGGUAUUUGGAAUGAGAACAAUUUAAAUCCCUUAUCGAGGAUCAAUUGGAGGGCAAGUCUGGUGCCAGCAGCCGCGGUAAUUCCAGCUCCAAUAGCGUAUACUAAAGUUGUUGCAGUUAAAAAGCUCGUAGUUGGAUUUCUGCUGUCGGUCCUGAGUCCUUCUCGCAAGAGUCGCGUACACUGGUCU
rnacentral:rRNA from 1 species